rnacentral:ncRNA from 1 species
GUAAGCCUCGCCGUGCGGGCUGGCCAUAUAGGGUAAGAGUGCCCAUAGGGCACCGCCAGUCCAUUCCCGAGAGGGAAAGGCGAGGCAGGAGGA